UACGUAGGUGGCAAGCGUUAUCCGGAAUUAUUGGGCGUAAAGCGCGCGCAGGCGGUUUCUUAAGUCUGAUGUGAAAGCCCACGGCUCAACCGUGGAGGGUCAUUGGAAACUGGGGAACUUGAGUGCAGAAGAGAAAAGCGGAAUUCCACGUGUAGCGGUGAAAUGCGUAGAGAUGUGGAGGAACACCAGUGGCGAAGGCGGCUUUUUGGUCUGUAACUGACGCUGAGGCGCGAAAGCUAGGGGAGCAAACGGG
rnacentral:rRNA from 1 species